rnacentral:rRNA from 1 species
GACGAACGCUGGCGGCGUGCUUAACACAUGCAAGUCGAACGGAAAGGCCCUGCUUGCAGGGUACUCGAGUGGCGAACGGGUGAGUAACACGUGGGUGAUCUGCCCUGCACUUCGGGAUAAGCCUGGGAAACUGGGUCUAAUACCGGAUAGGAGCCAUUUUUAGUGUGAGGGUUGGAAAGUUUUUUCGGUGUUGGGUGAGCUCGCGGCCUAUCAGCGUGUUGGGGGGGUAAUGGCCUACCAAGGCGGCGACGGGGAGCCGGACUGGGGGGGUGGACGGCCACAUUGGGUCUGAGAGACGGCCCAGGCUCCUACGGGAGGCCGAAGUGGGGAAUAUUGCACCAUGGGCGCCAGCCUGAUGCAGCGACGCCGCGUGGGGGAUGACGGCCUUCGGGUUGUAAACUCCUUUCGCUAGGGACGAAGCUUUUUGUGACGGUACCUAGAUAAGAAGCACCGGCUAACUACGUG